CCUACGGGCGGCAGCAGUAGGGAAUCUUCCACAAUGGGCGAAAGCCUGAUGGAGCAACGCCGCGUGGGUGAAGAAGGUCUUCGGAUCGUAAAACCCUGUUGUUAGAGAAGAAAGUGCGUGAGAGUAACUGUUCACGUUUCGACGGUAUCUAACCAGAAAGCAACGGCUAACUACGUGCCAGCAGCCGCGGUAAUACGUAGGUGGCAAGCGUUAUCCGGAAUUAUUGGGCGUAAAGGGCACGCAGGCGGUUUUUUAAGUCAGAUGUGAAAGCCCUCGGCUUAACCGGAGAAGUGCAUUGGAUACUGGGAGGCUUGAGUGUCGUAGAGGGGGGUAGAACUCCAGGUGUAGCGGUGAAAUGCGGAGAUAUAUGGAAGAAUACCGGUGGCGAAGGCGGCUUACUGGAC
rnacentral:rRNA from 1 species